rnacentral:rRNA from 1 species
AACGAACGCUGGCGGCGUGCCUAACACAUGCAAGUCGAACGAGAAAGGGGCUUCGGCUCCGAGUAAAGUGGCGCACGGGUGAGUAACACGUGGGUAACCUGCCUCUAAGAUUGGGAUAACUCGUCGAAAGAUGAGCUAAUACCGGAUAAGACCACAGUUUCUGCGGGGACAGAGGUCAAAGGUAGCCUCUGCUUGCAAGCUAUCACUUAGAGAUGGGCCUGCGCACCAUUAGCUAGUUGGUAGGGUAACGGCCUACCAAGGCAAAGAUGGUUAGCUGGUCUGAGAGGAUGAUCAGCCACACUGGAACUGAGACACGGUCCAGACUCCUACGGGAGGCAGCAGUGGGGAAUAUUGCGCAAUGGGCGAAAGCCUGACGCAGCAACGUCGCGUGAGUGAUGAAGGCCUUCGGGUCGUAAAGCUCUGUCGGAAGGAAGAUGGGACGGGUAACCGUUCGGACGGUACUUCCAGAAGCAGCCACGGCUAACUCUGUGCCAGCAGCCGCCGUAAUAC